rnacentral:rRNA from 1 species
AGUGAACGCUGGCGGUAGGCCUAACACAUGCAAGUCGAACGGCAGCACAGUAAGAGCUUGCUCUUACGGGUGGCGAGUGGCGGACGGGUGAGGAAUACAUCGGAAUCUACUUUUUCGUGGGGGAUAACGUAGGGAAACUUACGCUAAUACCGCAUACGACCCACGGGUGAAAGCAGGGGAUCUUUGGACCUUGCGCGGUUGAAUGAGCCGAUGUCGGAUUAGCUAGUUGGGGGGGUAAAUGCCCAGCAAGGCGGGGAUCCGUAGCCGGUCUGAGAGGAUGGUCGGCCACCCUGGAACUGGAACGCGGUCCAGGCUCCUACGGGAGGCCGCAGUGGGGAAUGUUGGGCAGAGGGGGCGAACCUGGUCCAGCCAUACCGCGUGGGUGGAGGAGACCUUCGGGUUGUAAAGCCCUUUUGUUGGGAAAGAAAAGCAGCAGGUUGAUACCCCGCUGUUCUGACGGUACCCAAAGAAUAAGCACCGGCUAACUUCGUG